rnacentral:ribozyme from 1 species
ACGAAGAUGAAGAAAUCUCGAAAGAAGGGAGGAGCAGGAUCCUCUUCUAAUGACUGCCCAACACAUAUUUUAAUUUUUUCUUUUUUUCCUUUGCUCACAUUCAUCUAUUUUUACUUCUUCGCUCAUUCUGAUUUUCGAAACUUUGAAGAAAAU